GACGAACGCUGGCGGCGUGCUUAACACAUGCAAGUCGAACGAUGAAGCCGGAGCUUGCUCUGGUGAAUUAGUGGCGAACGGGUGAGUAACACGUGAGUAACCUGCCCUUGACUCUGGGAUAACUGCGGGAAACUGUAGCUAAUACCGGAUACGACCCUCGGAGGCAUCUCCUGGGGUGGAAAGAAUUUCGGUCAAGGAUGGACUCGCGGCCUAUCAGCUAGUUGGUGAGGUAAAGGCGCACCAAGGCGACGACGGGUAGCCGGCCUGAGAGGGUGACCGGCCACACUGGGACUGAGACACGGCCCAGACUCCUACGGGAGGCAGCAGUGGGGAAUAUUGCACAAUGGGCGCAAGCCUGAUGCAGCAACGCCGCGUGAGGGAUGACGGCCUUCGGGUUGUAAACCUCUUUUAGCAGGGAAGAAGCGAAAGUGACGGUACCUGCAGAAAAAGCACCGGCUAACUACGUGCCAGCCGCCGCGGUAA
rnacentral:rRNA from 1 species